CGGCGACCCCGGCACACGCCCCGCCCCCCGCACACCUCCAACCCCCACCUCACUCACAAGCUGCAGCUGUUAUCCAUGCGGGGAUGCAGGAUGCAUUUCCAGAGACGCCGCCGGCUCCGCAACCGGACACCUCGCCAGCUCCAGGGACAAUGGGGGCUGAGGCCGGGCGCUGUUAGGCUGGCACAGAAGGCAGGCGGAUCUGAACAGCAAAGUACACCGAGGAGAUGCCGCCAGGGGUGGCGUGAGGCUUUUUAAAAACAUUAUUAUUGGCUUUCCCUUAAAAUUACUGGUCACAAGACUGAAGUAAAAAAAUAAAUAAAAGCCCAGAGUCCUCUCUAAGCGUA